rnacentral:rRNA from 1 species
UAAUACGUAGGGGGCAAGCGUUGUCCGGAAUUAUUGGGCGUAAAGCGCGCGCAGGCGGUUUCUUAAGUCUGGUGUUUAAGUGCGGGGCUCAACCCCGUGUCGCAUUGGAAACUGGGAGACUUGAGUGCAGAAGAGGAGAGCGGAAUUCCACGUGUAGCGGUGAAAUGCGUAGAGAUGUGGAGGAACACCAGUGGCGAAGGCGGCUCUCUGGACUGUAACUGACGCUGAGGCGCGAAAGCGUGGGGAGCAAACAGGAUUAGAUACCCUGGUAGUCCACGCCGUAAACGAUGAGUGCUAGGUGUUGGGGGGGUCCACCCCUCGGUGCCGAAGUUAACACAUUAAGCACUCCGCCUGGGGAGUACGGUCGCAAGACUGAA